AACGAACGCUGGCGGCGUGCUUAACACAUGCAAGUCGAACGAAGUGGCGAACGGGUGAGUAACGCGUAAUCAACCUGCCCUUGAGGGGGGAACACCAGUUGGAAACGUCUGCUAUAACCGCAUACGGAAGGAGGAGUAUGCGUGUGAAUAGCUCGUUGGGGGGGUAACGGCCCCCCAAGGCGAGGAUCAGUAGGCGGUUCGAGAGGGUGAACGGCCAAAAUGGUACUGAGGAACCGCCCAGACUCCUACGGGAGGCAGCAGUGGGGAAUCUUCAGCAAUGGAGGAAAGUCUGACGGAGCAACGCCGCGUGAGUGAUGACGGCCUUCGGGUUGUAAAGCUCUGUUAAUCGGGACGCGGUACCGGAAUAGAAAGCCACGGCUAACUACGUGCCAGCAGCCGCGGUAAUUC
rnacentral:rRNA from 1 species